CUCUCACUCUUCUCGAUGCCAUGCUGCUUGAUAGGCCCACAAGGCCUUUUCCUUGGAGAAAUCAGACAAGUAUACAGGAUAUCAUCUCUGGAAUGGGCUCUACCUCUCUGA